AGCAGCCGCGGUAAUUCCAGCUCCAAUAGCGUAUAUUAAAGUUGUUGCAGUUAAAAAGCUCGUAGUUGAAUUUCGGGAUUGACGUGACGGUCGUGCCUUAAGGGGUAUGAACUGUCGCAGUUGAUUUCUCACCUUCUGGAGAAGCAUGAUGUCCUUAAUUGGGUGUCAUGUGGAACCAGGACCUUUACCUUGAAAAAAUUAGAGUGUUUAAAGCAGGCAUUUUGCUCGAAUACAUUAGCAUGGAAUAAUAGAAUAGGACGGCAUGGUUCUAUUUUGUUGGUUUCUAGGAUCACUGUAAUGAUUAAUAGGGAUAGUUGGGGGCAUUAGUAUUCAAUUGUCAGAGGUGAAAUUCUUGGAUUUAUUGAAGACUAACUACUGCGAAAGCAUUUGCCAAGGAUGUUUUCAUUAAUCAAGAACGAAAGUUAGGGGAUCGAAGACGAUCAGAUACCGUCGUAGUCUUAACCAUAAACUAUGCCGACUAGGAAUCGGACGAUGUUAAUUUUAUAAU
rnacentral:rRNA from 1 species